rnacentral:rRNA from 1 species
GACGAACGCUGGCGGCGUGCUUAACACAUGCAAGUCGAACGAAGUGGCGAACGGGUGAGUAAAGCGUAAUCAACCUGCCCUUCAGAGGGGGACAACAGUUGGAAACGACUGCUAAUACCGCAUAAUGAAGGAGGGGAUUGCGUCUGAUUAGAUAGUUGGAGGGGUAACGGCCCACCAAGGCGAUGAUCAGUAGCCGGUCUGAGGGGAUUGACGGCCACAUUGGGACUGCGACACGGCCCAGACUCCUACGUUAGGCAUCAGUGGGGAUUCUUCCGCAAUGGACGAAAGUCUGACGUAGCAACGCGGCGUGAGUGAUGACGGCCUUCGAGUUGUAAAGCUCUGUUAAUCGGGACGCGGUACCGGAAUAGAAAGCCACGGCUAACUACGUGCCAGCAGCCGCGGUAAUAC